rnacentral:rRNA from 1 species
UACGUAGGGCGCAAGCGUUAUCCGGAAUUAUUGGGCGUAAAGAGCUCGUAGGCGGUUUGUCGCGUCUGCCGUGAAAAGUCCCGGGGCUCAACUCCGGAUCUGCGGUGGGUACGGGCAGACUAGAGUGAUGUAGGGGAGACUGGAAUUCCUGGUGUAGCGGUGAAAUGCGCAGAUAUCAGGAGGAACACCGAUGGCGAAGGCAGGUCUCUGGGCAUUAACUGACGCUGAGGAGCGAAAAGCAUGGGGAGCGAACAGG